UCGGGGUGGGAGUGUCGUGUGGGGACUUUGCAUGCCCACAGAGAAGGUAGCGCGGAGUCGGGGCCCUCCAGUGGUCGCAGGGCCUCGGCGGACGGGAGCGGCUCUCACCUCGGGCCUGGGCCCGCGCAGGCUGGGCGUGACCGGGCGGAGACCCCGGGUCCCGCGUCCCCGCGAGCAGACCCCGGGGCAGGAUGCGCACCUCAUGCUGGCGGCGUCCUCCUUCUCCCUGCUCACCUGGCCCGGCGGGGAUGACCCUGGCCCCGUAGCCAACGAGGCGACCCUGUCCCCAGGGCCCGCGCGUUUACCCCAUAAAGCUUCCAGAGAAGGUCGCCCGUGGAGCAGAGUAGCCUUCCAGUGUAAGUCACGCUCUGCGGGCCAGUCACCCGGUCCACCGUCACCGGGCUGAGCCACUGCCCAUUUCCUGCCAGCUUUGUGACCUUGGGCAAGGUCCUGGGGGUCUCUGAGCCGUGACUGCCUCAGCUUUGAGGGAGUUGAAGCCUGAAUAUCUCUUAACUUCCGUUCCAACUGUAACAUCCUAAUUUCAAGUUCUACUUAGACUCCUAUCUAAAGGUGGCUUCCCAGUGAAGUAAAGGAAGAGGUUUGAACUUCAGAGCACAGCUGCAGGGUUCUUCUCUGAUCUGAACAAUGGCUGUAGCUGUGGAUGAACAAAUCCAGACUCCUCAAGUACAGGAAGAGCUCCAAAUAGUGAAGCUGGAAGAAGAUUCCCACUGGGAGCAGGAAAUUUUCUUUCAAGGGAGUAUCCCUGGACCAGAGACCUCCUGCCAGCACUUUUGGUAUUUCCACUAUCAAGAAGCAUCAGGACCCCGGGAGGCACUAAUCCAACUCCAGAAGCUCUGUUAUCAGUGGCUGAGACCGGAGAAGUGUACGAAAGAGCAGAUCCUGGAGUUGCUAGUCCUGGAACAGUUCCUGGCUGUCCUUCCCCAGGAGGUCCAGAUCUGGGUUAGACAAAAACAUCCAGAGAGUGGAGAGGAGGCAGUGGCUCUGGUGGAAGACUUGCAAAAAGAACCGGGAAGACUGGGGCUGCAGGCAGUGGUGAAGAACUCACAGCCAGAACCAGAAGACCAAAUGAACCACAGCCCCAAAGUAAAACUUGGAUCCUUCUGCGAGAGCGGCACCUCCAAAGGGAAGAAGAACCUUGGUCGGCAUGUUUUGUAAAACUACACAGCAGAGCUGGUGGCACCUCUCCUUAUGUGAGUGAGACCUUACUGGUCCCAGUAGGUAAGUCGUGGGUACCAAUUUUAGGCCUGGGUGGUAGGAAAGGCACAAGGUAGGGCUAAACUAGAGUGCAGUAAUUCUCAAAACAGGUACGUGUCCCCAGACCAAUUCAGAUGAUUCACAUGUGUUAUCAAAACUGAAGAAUAAAAGCAUAAAACGCUGACAGUCAAUAACGUGGAUGGAUAUGGAAGGGAAAUCUGGAACUCUCCUUUGAGAAAUGUGUUGUUUUGCUUUUUCACCAGUCCUUCUUUGAUGGGACAAAGCAGACACUGAGAGAAGGAGGAAGACUCUUCUGUUUCCAAACCAGGUGGGCUGGUCCCUGGGAGGAGCCAAGAAGCAUUCCCUUUAACGGCUCCUUUCUCUUCCCCCAGGCCUGCCUGAUCCUCAGACUCUGGGUCUUUCUAUGGAGAACAGCUGUGACCAGGGGACCAUGAGCAGCUCCCAGCAUUUCCAACCCACAGACCCUGUGUGAGCUCCCACGUGGAGCAGGAGGAAAACCCACAGAGCCCAGAUCUUCAGUGCUCCAGAGAGAAGGAGAGUGUGAGACUCCCUGGUGGGUUGGGGAAGAGUCAGGCCUGGCCAGGUGCCCAUCUUGAGAAAAGCCAGGACGGGGGAUGAGCUGGAGUGGCAGGGCCUGGAGGAUGAGAAGGUGGCAGGGAUGCACUGGGGCUACGAGGAAACCAACAUUUUCCUGGGAAUUCUCAGUGAGUCCUGGAUUCAUGAGAAGCUCCGUACGUGCCAUCGGAACCGCCAGGUGUACCGGAUUGUGGCUGAGCGGCUGUGAGAGCAGGGCUUCCUGCGGACCCUGGAGCAGUGUCGUUACCGGUUCAAAAACCUCCAGACCAACUACCGCAAAGCUAGGAGCACCCACGUGCUAAGAACCUGCCCCUUCUACAACAAGAUGGAUGCCCUGAUGUGUCCACAGGCCGCCACCCCCAUUCCAGAGGUGGCCGGGGGUCUGCUUGGGCAGAGGUACCGUGACGUGGAGCAGGAAGAACUGCAGAGGGCUUACUGGGAGCAGGAGGAGGCGAUGCUGGCCGAGGCCGUGUUAGAAGGUGGGUCAGAGAAGCAGGGGUGGAACCAAGGCCAUCCAGCAGCAUCUUUAGAAGAAGGGCAUUCAGGAGCCAUAAUGGAGGAUUCUGAGGGGGGAGAACUGGGCACUGAAGAAGCGUCUGGAAGCCCUGGUAUCCCAGCCCUGUUUUGGAAUCCUACUGGUAAGCCCC